rnacentral:rRNA from 1 species
GUGUCAGCCGCCGCGGUAAUACGGAGGGAGCUAGCGUUAUUCGGAAUUACUGGGCGUAAAGCGUACGUAGGCGGCUUUGCAAGUUAGAGGUGAAAGCCUGGAGCUCAACUCCAGAACUGCCUUUAAAACUGCAUCGCUUGAAUCCAGGAGAGGUGAGUGGAAUUCCGAGUGUAGAGGUGAAAUUCGUAGAUAUUCGGAAGAACACCAGUGGCGAAGGCGGCUCACUGGACUGGUAUUGACGCUGAGGUACGAAAGCGUGGGGAGCAAACAGGAUUAGAAACCCUCGUAGUCC